CNCGNNAAACCUUACCUGGCCUUGACAUGUACCGAAUUUAGCAGAGAUGCUUUAGUGCUCGAAAGAGAACGGUAACACAGGUGCUGCAUGGCUGUCGUCAGCUCGUGUCGUGAGAUGUUGGGUUAAGUCCCGCAACGAGCGCAACCCUUGCCAUUAAUUGCCAUCAUUUAGUUGGGCACUUUAAUGGGACUGCCGGUGACAAACCGGAGGAAGGUGGGGAUGACGUCAAGUCCUCAUGGCCCUUAUGGCCAGGGCUUCACACGUAAUACAAUGGUCGGUACAGAGGGAAGCCAACCCGCGAGGGGGAGCCAAUCUCAGAAAGCCGGUCGUAGUCCGGAUUGUUGUCUGCAACUCGACAGCAUGAAGUCGGAAUCGCUAGUAAUCGCGGAUCAGCAUGUCGCGGUGAAUACGUUCCCGGGCCUUGUACACACCGCCCGUCACACCAUGGGAGUGGGUUUUACCAGAAGUAGUUAGUCUAUCCGCAAGGGG
rnacentral:rRNA from 1 species